rnacentral:tRNA from 1 species
GAGGGUACAGCUCAGUGGUAGAGCACGUGCUUAGCAUGCAUGAGGUCCUGGGUUUAAUCCCAGUAUCUCCA